rnacentral:rRNA from 1 species
GACGAACGCUGGCGGCGUGCUUAACACAUGCAAGUCGAACGGAAAGGCCCUGCUUUUGUGGGGUGCUCGAGUGGCGAACGGGUGAGUAACACGUGAGUAACCUGCCCUUGACUGUGGGAUAACUUCAGGAAACUGGGGCUAAUACCGGAUAGGAGCUCCUGCUGCAUGGGGUGGGUUGGAAAGUGUCGGCGGUGGGGGAUGGACUCGCGGCUUAUCAGCUGGUUGGUGGGGUAGUGGCUUACCAAGGCUUUGACGGGUAGCCGGCCUGAGAGGGUGACCGGCCACAUUGGGACUGAGAUACGGCCCAGACUCCUACGGGAGGCAGCAGUGGGGAAUAUUGCACAAUGGGCGGAAGCCUGAUGCAGCAACGCCGCGUGCGGGAUGACGGCCUUCGGGUUGUAAACCGCUUUCGCCUGUGACGAAGCGUGAGUGACGGUAAUGGGUAAAGAAGCACCGGCUAACUACGUG